GUACGGGAGGCAGCAGUCGGGAAUUUUGGGCAAUGGGCGAAAGCCUGACCCAGCAACGCCGCGUGAAGGAUGAAGUAUUUCGGUAUGUAAACUUCGAAAGAAUAGGAAGAAUAAAUGACGGUACUAUUUAUAAGGUCCGGCUAACUACGUGCCAGCAGCCGCGGUAAUACGUAGGGACCAAGCGUUGUUCGGAUUUACUGGGCGUAAAGGGCGCGUAGGCGGUGCUGUAAGUCACUUGUGAAAUCUCUGAGCUUAACUCAGAACGGCCAAGUGAUACUGCAGGACUAGAGUGCGGAAGGGGCAAUCGGAAUUCUUGGUGUAGCGGUGAAAUGCGUAGAUAUCAAGAGGAACACCUGAGGUGAAGACGGGUUGCUGGGCCGACACUGACGCUGAUGCGCGAAAGCCAGGGGAGCAAACGGGAUUAGAUACCCCGGU
rnacentral:rRNA from 1 species